UCUUGAUCAGAUGGAAAUCCCGAUUGGUUGAGCAUCUAGGGCCUUCUCCUUACAAAAAGUGUGAUGGAAGAGCACGGGCUACUUUGAAGGAAUCCUUUCCUAGAUCUAUCCCUAACCACUCAAUGGUGAUCUACUGCUACCACUGAACAACAGAUCACAGUAGCAAUAUGAAACCCUUGUUGACAGAGCUCAAAGGAGGCAGACCAUGAGAAGACACCCCCUGCUCCUGUCAUGUGUGCUCACUGCUUAUGAGUUUUGUACUGCUACUUCUUUCUUAGUGUAUCUCUCUUGUCUUUCGGAACAAACAUCCCUGUAAAUGUCAUUUAGAGCUUGGAAAAUAUCAUUAAAAUGUUCAAGGUAAAA